AAGUGUCUUGAAUGGAGUGAGAGAUAUAUCUGAAUUAGAUGAGGAAGAACAGCUAAUUCAAGCCUAUGAACAGCAAGUGGCUGUGGAAGAAGCAAAUGCAAUUAAGAAGAAAAUUAAAAAGAAACUUAAAGAGCAGAUGUCUGAAUUCACCUCAAAUGUUCAAAGUCAUGAAAUGGUAUUGAACAAUGAAGUGAGCAAAAAGAAGAAAAAGAAAAAAGAAAUACCGGUUAUAUCUGAAGCUCAAACAAGUGCAAUGUCCCUUUCUGAACUACAGAAUGAUCCAGAGGGAGAAAAUUACAGCAAAAAGAGAUCGUUGGAAAGACCACUCAUAUCCAAGUCUGAAAGUGACAAUGUGCUAACAGAGAAGCAAGAGCUGGAGGAGCAUACUGAAGAACAGACUUGUAAAGGAAAGAAAGCGAAAAGGAAAACCAAAAAAGCAUUAGAAGAAAAUAUAGAAAACAAUAAUGAAAAUACUGCACAUGUGGCUGCUGAAAAUACAUCACCAGAAUUGAAACCUGUUUUUGAUGAUAGCCUUGUUUUAGGUGUUUUCAUCCAUCGGACUGACAGACUUAAAACUGAUGUUAUGGUAUCACAUCCCAUGGUUAAGAUUCAUGUGAUUGAUCAGAAAACUGGUCUAUAUGUCAAGAAAGAGAAUAGAAGCCGGCCAGUCUCAUCUUUCUAUGAACAAGAGAAAGUGGAACAUAUUCUUCCCAUUAUGACCCAGCCUUAUGAUUUCAGACAGUUUAAGUCAACACUUCCAGAAUGGGAGGAACAAAUAAUAUUCAAUGAACGUUUUAACUAUUUCCUUCAAGAUACUGAAGAAAGCCCAAGAGUAAUCCUGUUUUUUGAGAUCCUUGAUUUUUUAAGCAUGAUUGAUGCAAAGGCCAACUUCGAUCUCCAGGCUCAGGAGAGUGGCUUUCGGAAAAUCUGUUGGGCAUUUCUAAAGCUUGUAGGUGCAAAUGGAGUUCUGAAUGUUGGUGGAAAAGUACGUCUUCAGCUAUAUUCUCCUCCUGUGAGAACCAAGACACAACUAAAUGUUGUGGAAGUGUAUGACUGGUGGGCUAAAUGUCCCAGAAACCAUUACCCUUCCACACUGUAUGUAACUGUGAAAGGCAUUAAACUUCCAGAUCAUAUAGGUCCUACCUUACGUUCUAUGAUGGCUGUUCAGCAAGAAUAUCAUUCCUCAUCAUUCCUGGACCUACAAAGUGAAACAUCACAAAAAGCUAAUAAAUCUGGGCCACAACUGAAAAAAGAGGAACCAUUUAAGUGGUCAAAACUUCCUGGACAGGUUUGUCGCAUACCAAACAGAUACCUGUUCUCCCUGAAAGCUGGAGAUAUGGGAUGUUUCUGUAUUCGUUUCUCUGAAGAUGGCCGAACAUUAGCAGCUGGUUGUGCAGGAAGAGAUGGUUAUCCUAUUAUUUUAUAUGAGAUUCCUUCUGGACGAUACCUAAGAGAAUUCUAUGGACAUCUGAACAUUGUGUAUGAUAUUUGCUGGUCCAAAGAUAAUCAACAUCUCCUUACUGCAUCCUCAGAUGGCACUGCAAGAAUGUGGAAAAUAGAAGCCCAGGCUACAUCAGCCAGGAAAGUUUUCCCUCAUCCUUCAUUUGUAUAUAGUGCUAAAUACCACCCAGUAGCUGAGUAUAUCAUAGUGACAGGAUGUUAUGACUCUGUGAUAAGAGUGUGGAAUGCAAAAGUGAAGGAAAUUCAUGGGCAGCUUUUACAAGAGUUUGAUGGUCACAGAAGUUUUAUCAAUACAUUGUGUUUUGAUGCAGAAGGAUCUCACAUGUUUUCUGGAGAUAGCACAGGGCUAAUAAUUGUCUGGAAUACUUCUGUUAAAGAAAGUUCUCCAUCACCAAUCCAACACUGGGGCAUUGAUAAGGAAAUAAAAGAUGAUGAUAUCAAAGGGGCAGCAAUCAAUCAUUUGGAGGUACAUCCAAAUGGAAGACGGUUAUUGAUACAUACAAAAGAUAGUACCGUGAGAAUUAUGGAUCUCCGAAUCUUGGCUACGAAGAAAUGCAUAGGUGCUACAAACUAUCGGGAAAAAAUUCGCAGUACUUUGACACCAUGUGGAACGUUCCUUUUUUCUGGAAGUGAAGAUGGUGUAGCAUAUGUCUGGAAUCCAGAAACAGGUGAUCAAGUAGCCACGUAUUCUGAUCUUUCCUUCACAUCUCCACUUCGUGAUGUUGCCUUUCAUCCACAUGAACAUAUGGUGUCAUUCUGUGCCUUUGGACAAAACCAGCCAAUACUUGUAUACAUUUACGAUUACAAAGUUGCCCAGCAGGAAGCUGAACAGUUAUCCAUGUCAUCCAGAGGUCCAAAGAUUCUUAACGGUUCUGCUGAUAUCUCUGUACAGAAAGAUUCAAUAAUGUCUCCUGCUGACCAGUUUGCAAAUGUUGCAAGGGUAUCUGUGAGGAUGCAAAAAGUCAAACAAAAACUGGAUUCUGUUAUGGCCAACUCCAGCCCAUUGCUUCCUAGUCCAUCUCUCCUGUCGCAACACUCUAAAUUACGACUGGGAAGUGCACUGGGUGAAGUGCAGAUCCCUCAUUAUUCUCUUCCUGCUCCAAGUGGGAGUUUUGUCCCAGUAGGAAAUCCUUUUAGCCUAACACCUUCAGCUGGACUACGCACGAGUACUGAGUUUCUAGUGGCAUCAUAUGCCAAAGGAGACAGUAGUUCAAUCCCAGUCCAAGAAACAGUAGUGGCUCUUUAUGACUACACAGCGCAUCGAUCAGAUGAGCUAACCAUCCAUUGCAGUGACAUUAUCCAAGUGUUAUACAAAGAUAAUGAUAACUGGUGGUUUGGCAGCCUGGCGAAUGGACAGCAAGGCUAUUUUCCAGCCAAUUAUGUGGUUGGUAAAACGCAAUAUGAAGGACAGCUGUCUCCAGAAUUAGAAGAAGAUUCUGCCCCUCUUCUGACCAAUGACCUGGUGGAGGCAGCAUCACCAACAAUGCCUGGGGUAGCUAUUUAGGAGGAAAAGCAUGUGUGAUACUUGUGAAAGAUGGGAUUGCAUUUUCCAUUUCCUGUAGUAACCAUUUAAUUCCCAAGUACAUAUAUUAGGUGAUCAUAUUAAUGCAUGGGCUUGCUCAGGUUCAACCAUUUACAGGCAGUACCAGCCUGCCGGUUACAAUACCCACAAAAUGUUCUCUGUGUAUGUUGGGAAGCAUUAAAAGAGAUGAAGCUUAACUGAGAUAAAAUUAUUGUUACAAAUUAUGUGGCUCAAUAAUUCAGUGAACAUGUCCAAAACUAGUAAUAAAUGAGGACGUUUUCUCUCAUUGUAGACUUACUCAAAGUUUGACAUGUUUGUCCAUAAUUGGCUGCAUUAUCUUCUAUAGAUGCUCACACAAAUUGGAACUUGAACUCCCACACUCUGGGUUCAGUUCUGUUCAACUGAUACUUAAGUAAUUAAGAACAUGCACAUUAAUUGCAUCCAAGCAAUUAAUAUUGUGUAUAGUUUGGCCCUCAGUGUCCAUUCCUUUGAACCCAGACUUUUUCCUGCAUUCAGAUACAUUGUAGGGCAGGACGAACACCUGCAUGCAGAAGUGAUCUAUGUUAUCCUCUGAAUAGAUGCUCCCAUUAGAAAAGCAGGGGCAGUGGGGAUGCUCAGGAGUGGCGAUGGGGAGCUGGCCCUCUGGUGCACCAUACCCAGGGCUUCAGGUCCAGCCAGGGCAGUCUCAUAUAUUGAGGAAAGGAAGCCUUCCAGGAGCAGAGUGCAGGAACCUCCAGGCUGGGCUAGUGACAUGAGUUGCUUUAUUAGAAUGUUUUAUCCAGUCUGAGUGAUGACUGGGCAUCACUCAAGGUGGCAAAUAUAAAUUAAUAUUAAAAUAGCACAGUAAUGUCAGAGCACACAAAUCUCAGUUGGCCUUCCUCCAAACAGCUGUUAGAAACUGACCAGGUCUUUCAUGCUGGACCAAAUUCAGAUAGUCUUAACUGGUACAGCCUCAGUGAUUGGAGCCAGUUUAUAAGAUGGAAAACAAUUAUUGUACCCACCACAGUUGUUCGCUCAUUAACUUUGUCGUUGGCAGUACAGUUGAAUUCAGAAUGUUUUCAUUUUACGUGUGUUGUGUCUGUAUUUUUAAAGUGUGCUCUAACUGGCACUAUAUUAUUCUCUUUGAAAAAAGAAGUAUGCUAGCAGUUAAUAUCUGAAUUCUGACUAUAUCUUCAACCAAAUGCAUAGCAGUUUAUUUUAUACUGGCUAGACCGAAUUACUGACAUGGCUGGGCAUGAAUAGAUUGCGGCCACAAUGUAUAGAUUUUUACAAUGAACUCCACAUGCCCAGCAGAAGUCGUGGAUUUUAGUGGCUACCCUACCUCCUCACCAUAUGGCAACGUUGAAACCUGUGGGUGUUUUUGAAACCUGGAGGAGUUUGCGAAGCAGUUGAAAUAUCACAUGAGAAGCUGAUGUUUGAGAAAACACAUUCAAGUCUCUUGGGUACACCAAAAGGAGGCUUUUCUGGAUUGUGGACUCUGUGUGUGUGUGCGCGUGCAUGCACACGGCAAAGUUGUUUCAGAAAAUAGUGCCACUUUUGAUAUACAGUGUGGGUGGUUCUGCUGUUAUUUUUUGAAUAUUUCUUGUAUAUUUCAUAAGAUAGGAAGCCUUUCUUCUAACAAACAGCUGAGAGGAAUUAUUUUACAGUUGUAUUUACACUAUCCCAUAUCAGAAAAUGUUCAGUAAAGGUGAAAGUAUUUAGUACAUAAAGGCCCUAUGUUGAUGCUUUCUUACUGGGCUUAAACCCACACCACCUAUAUGCAGAACUAUAUUCCCUAAACCACGCUUACAUCUCUUCUUCUACAUAGACUAAUAAAAUAUAAAACCACUUGUCUUACUUUGGUUUUAAAGAGAGGAGCUAUUCCCCUACCUUUUAAACAAAAGUUUGAGCACUUACAAUAAAUAAUAAAGCAAUAUUAUUAACACAGCUAGAGAGCAAUCUAAAGAAAACUUUGCAGAAACCAGAAGGGACUGUAGCAAAAUAAUAAAGUGCUUCAGAGAGCAAUUCUCAGAAUCCUCUUCCCCCCUGCCCUCCCCAAGACUGCUUGAGAAGCUGUAGGAUGUGGCACAGGUGCUGCUCCACUGAGAGAGGGAGGCCUGCCUGCAGGUUGGUAGCUACUCCACCUCAGCAUGCAGGUGAAGUGGCAGCAGUUCUCUUACCCAAAGAGGGUACUCAGUGGGCAUGUUCAGAGUGUGCUUGGAUCUGCAGGAUCCCGACUGCUUCAUUUCCAUGACCCUCCCAAAUAUUAGGCACAGAAUUAUGCCAGUCCUGGAGCUGGCAUUAAUUCCUUCUCAUUGUGGUCAGUGAUGUGGGGAACAACCAAAAACUAAUUGUGAAAACAGAAAAGAAAAAAACACACACUCCCCACCACCUUUCUGCCCUGAGCUGGCAGAGCUAUCAUUGCAGCAGACUAACCACCGCAGAUCUCUUCUUCCUCUUGACAAAGAAUGUAAAGUUGCUCUGUUAAAAAGAUGGCAAGCUAGAAUAAAGUUGUCUUCACAGCCUGUCCAAAGCUAAACAACAGUGGGUGGACCAAGGAGACCUUGGUCCACCCACUGUAUUCUGGAACCUCCAGAAAUGUGCACAGUUUUCAAGCAGGAUCACACAGACAGAUGCUGUGUUCCUAGGUUAGGCAUAGAGUCUAGAUCUAGUUAUAUCAAUAAGGCAAUAUUGACCCAUAUCUCAUCUCCAUCAAAGCACUAAGAAAUGCUGAAUUAAUUUCACCAUGCUAUGAGGUUGAGAGAGAGAGACAGAGACAGCACAGUGGAAUUGGUAACUGGUGUUUGGUAAUUUGUUGUAUAAUUUCUGAAAAUAGAUGCAUUUCCUUUUAUAAAAGAUUAUGACACUAUGCAUAAUUCAUAUUUUUAAAUAUUUAGUGCUAGCAAGACUAAUUUUUGGAUUUUGAUGGCUCUGCCCUCAAAAUAAAAGAUGACGUUAUUUCAUUGUCAAUAACAUUUUAAGACAGAUGUAAUCCCUAUUGAAAAUUCACUCAAGCAUGGAUUCAUAGCUCUGCAUUUGUUUGUUUUUUCUAAACACACCUGAACAUUUCAAGGGGUUUUUAAAGCUGUGGAACUGUUUCCUCCUUUUUUAACCACAUAUGGUGAGAAUUUCAUGGGUGACAGAUCUUCUGUAUGAAGCGAGGUAUAUUCUCUCCUCAUUCAGGAAGCCCGUGGGUUUUUCAUCGUACACGUGUUGACCCCAUUUUCUCUCUCUUUUUUUCUCCCUUACUGAUCACAUUUUCCCCUUUGCAGAUGUCAGCAGUCAUCAGCAAAUCAGGAGACCAAAGAUUUAUUUCAGGGAAUGACACAGGCCACCUGCCUACACAACGCACAAAGAAGAAAAUAAGGAAGAAAGGCAUACACAUGGAUACAGAAGAGUACAAGGCAGGUCUAAUUAC